CGCGGCCUAUCAGCUUGUUGGCGGUGUAACGGACCACCAAGGCUUCGACGGGUAGCUGGUCUGAGAGGAUGGCCAGCCACAUUGGGACUGAGAGACGGCCCAGACUCCUACGGGAGGCAGCAGUGGGGAAUCUUGCGCAAUGGCCGAAAGGCUGACGCAGCGACGCCGCGUGUGGGAUGAAGCAUUUCGGUGUGUAAACCACUGUUGCCCGGGACGAACAGCUUCUUUCGAGGAGCCUGACGGUACCGGGUGAGGAAGCACCGGCUAACUCCGUGCCAGCAGCCGCGGUAAUACGGAGGGUGCGAGCGUUGUCCGGAAUCACUGGGCGUAAAGGGCGCGUAGGUGGCGCGGGCAGUCAACGGUGAAAGUUCGGGGCUCAACCCCGAAUCGGCCGUCGAUACUCCCGAGCUUGAGCACUGUAGAGGCAGAUGGAAUUCCGGGUGUAGCGGUGGAAUGCGUAGAGAUCCGGAAGAACACCGGUGGCGAAGGCGGUCUGCUGGGCAGUUGCUGACACUGAGGCGCGACAGCGUGGGGAGCAAACAGGAUUAGAUACCCUGGUAGUCCACGCCGUAAACGAUGGGCACUAGGUGCUUGGGGGAGCGACCCUCUGAGUGCCGGCGCUAACGCAUUAAGUGCCCCGCCUGGGGAGUACGG
rnacentral:rRNA from 1 species